GGGCCGGGACACUUGGCGCCCGAACAGGGACUUAGGUACGGGGGAUCCAGUGAAGAGCUCCCCAGGAAGGCUCCAAUGCAGAGCAACCCAGAAAAGCCGUGGCGGAAAACAGACAGGACGGCAUAGAAUCGUCCAGAAGGGAAUGGCAGAGAGUCAUUCCGAGAAAGGCUGGAGAAAACUAUAGAAGGACGAAGAGAAGACGUCCUGGCUUUGUUACUGAGUCAGACCACACAUGUCAUUGACACCAAAAAAUUAAGAAAUGUCUGAAAGAAAUUUCUAGUGUUUGAAAGUCAAUAUGAGAUGUGACAAAAUUAUGGUGGAAUAGGAAGUGUCCAGUUUCAGUCCCCUUCGCAGGAAGACCAGCUAACAAAUACUCGCAGAAUUGGAAGUCCCAGCCAGAGCAACAAUCAACCAACCAAUAAAUAAAAGACUUACUCUGUAACUGUCACAAAAUAUGUGAGGAUGAGGAACAGCAAUAAAAACUGGCAAACAGGCAAUUGUGUUCCAGGGAUAUACUCAAUUUAAUGAUAUUAAAAAAA